rnacentral:rRNA from 1 species
GUCAAGUCAUCAUGGCCCUUAUGGGCAGGGCUACACACGUGCUACAAUGGCCGGUACAAAGGGCUGCCAACCCGCGAGGGGGAGCUAAUCCCAAAAAGCCGGUCGUAGUUCGGAUUGCAGGCUGCAACUCGCCUGCAUGAAGCCGGAGUUGCUAGUAACCGUGGGUCAGCCACACUACGGUGAAUACGUUCCCGGGCCUU